AAAGGCAUUGGGUCUGAACUUCUUGACAACUUCAUCCAGGGCUUUCAUCCUCUGGAGGGUCACACAUUUCUUGUUGUCUUCUCCAGCUUUCAGAUUCAGCAAUGUCCUCACUCCUGACAGACCAGGGUCCCCUUUCCAGAGUAAUGGAGGAGCACCAUGAUUUUUUAAUCCAAAAUUCCCGGAUUUGAAUGAAAUGCUCUGGAAAGGCUCUGGAAAUCAUUGGGUGUUCACAAUCAUCAAUGAAGAUGUUCACCAGGAAUUGCUGAUCACUGGCCUCCAGCUGGAUGUUGCACUCCUGAUCACCACCCCGGCCAGCAGAUUUCAACCAGCCUGCUGUCUGCUCAUCCAGCCCAUACUUCAUGGGCUUCUCUGUGAGGGAGCCCUGUCUGUGUCCACUAGUACACACAUUCAUUUGGAUUUUAAACAAUCAAACAGAAGUGAGUGUUUUAACAGCAGAAUUAUUUUUCAAAGGGAAAUAGAAGGGUAUGGCUUUGAUGGAACGAGUGCCUUCAAGCUCCACUGGCAGGCACUGUUUGAAAACUAUUUGGGUGAUUUUGGAUAAAAAAUGAAAGAUGCAACAGCAGGAAGCCAUUCAGCAAUCCCUGACAAGGGAGGUCCACUGUCAAUUGCUGGGAGGGCCCCCACCUGUUUCUUUUAAUGGUGCUCCCAAAUCCCACCCCUUGGGCCUCCCAUCCCAUCCUUUUUGGUCCCCUCAGGCAUCUCCUCCCCAGGAUCUGCUCUGUGUCCUACCCAGGGUCCCCAAACAUCCUCCCACUGAUCAUUCCCAAAGCUUUUCUUU